UGUCAGAGGGAAAGAAGGGUGUCGGCGUGAACAGCGCUGGCAUCUGACGGUACCUUCAGAGGAAGCCCCGGCCAACUCUGUGCCAGCAGCCGCGGUAAGACAGAGGGGGCAAGCGUUGCUCGGAAUCACUGGGCGUAAAGGGCGCGUAGGCGGGAUGGCAAGUCGGUCGUGAAAUCCUUCGGCUCAACCGAAGAACGUCGGCCGAUACUGCCGUUCUUGAGGGAUGCAGAGGAGAUUGGAAUUCCCGGUGUAGCGGUGAAAUGUGUAGAGAUCGGGAGGAACACCGGUGGCGAAGGCGGGUCUCUGGGCAUCUCCUGACGCUGAGGCGCGAAAGCGUGGGGAGCAAACGGGAUUAGACUACCCCGGUAGUCCACGCUGUAAACGAUGACGACUAGGUGUGGGGGGGGUUAGUCCUUUCCGUGCCGCAGCUAACGCAUUAAGUCGUCCGCCUGGGGAGUACGGCCGCAAGGUUG
rnacentral:rRNA from 1 species